AGCUGCCUACGGGGGGCAGCAAUGGGGAAUAUUGCACAAUGGGGGAAACCCUGAUGCAGCGACGCCGCGUGAAGGAAGAAGUAGUUCGGUAUGUAAACUUCUAUCAGCAGGGAAGAAAAUGACGGUACCUGACUAAGAAGCCCCGGCUAACUACGUGCCAGCAGCCGCGGUAAUACGUAGGGGGCAAGCGUUAUCCGGAUUUACUGGGUGUAAAGGGAGCGUAGGCGGUAAUGCAAGUCAGAAGUGAAAGCCCGGGGCUCAACUCCGGGACUGCUUUUGAAACUGCGUUGCUAGAUUGCAGGAGG
rnacentral:rRNA from 1 species